UACGGAGGGGGCGAGCGUUGUCCGAAGUUACUGGGCGUAAAGCGCGCGUAGGCGGGAAAUUAAGUGAGAAGUGAAAGGCUGGGGCUCAACCUCAUGCAGUGCUUCUCAUACUGGUUUUCUUGAGGGCGGUAGAGAAAAGUGGAAUGGCUGGUGUAGCGGUGAAAUGCGUAGAUAUCAGUCGGAACACCGGUGGCGAAGGCGGCUUUUUGGGCCGUUCCUGACGCUGAGGCGCGAAAGCUAGGGGAGCAAACGGG
rnacentral:rRNA from 1 species